UGGGCAUUUCAGUUAGCUUACAAGAGAAUU
rnacentral:piRNA from 2 species